UGCAGUCGAACGGCAGCACGGGGGCAACCUUGGUGGCGAGUGGCGAACGGGUGAGUAACAUAUCGGAACAUAUCCGCAAGUGGGGGAUAACGUACCGAAAGGUACGCUAAUACCGCAUAUACCCUGAGGGGGAAAGGUGGGGAUUCGCAAGAACCUAUCGCUUACGGAGUGGCCGAUAUCGGAUUAGCUAGUUGGUGAGGUAAAGGCUCACCAAGGCGACGAUCCGUAGCGGGUCUGAGAGGACGACCCGCCACACUGGAACUGAGACACGGUCCAGACUCCUACGGGAGGCGGCAGUGGGGAAUUUUGGACAAUGGGGGCAACCCUGAUCCAGCCAUGCCGCGUGAGUGAAGAAGGCCUUCGGGUUGUAAAGCUCUUUCAGCCGGAAAGAAACGGUCACGGCGAAUACCCGUGACUAAUGACGGUACCGGCAGAAGAAGCACCGGCUAACUACGUGCCAGCAGCCGCGGUAAUACGUAGGGUGCGAGCGUUAAUCGGAAUUACUGGGCGUAAAGCGUGCGCAGGCGGUUUUGUAAGACAGAUGUGAGAUCCCCGGGCUUAACCUGGGAACUGCAUUUGUGACUGCAAGGCUAGAGUACGGCAGAGGGGGGUAGAAUUCCACGUGUAGCAGUGAAAUGCGUAGAUAUGUGGAGGAAUACCGAUGGCGAAGGCAGCCCCCUGGGUCGAUACUGACGCUCAUGCACGAAAGCGUGGGGAGCAAACAGGAUUAGAUACCCUGGUAGUCCACGCCCUAAACGAUGUCAACUAGGUGUUGGGGAAGGAGACUUCUUUAGUACCGCAGCUAACGCGAUAAGUUGACCGCCUGGGGAGUACGGUCGCAAGAUUAAAACUCAAAGGAAUUGACGGGGACCCGCACAAGCGGNGGAUUAUGUGGNUUAAUUCGAUGCAACGCGAAAAANCNUUACCUACCCNUGACAUGUCAGAAAGAUCGCA
rnacentral:rRNA from 1 species